rnacentral:lncRNA from 1 species
UUUAAGGUCUUUUUAGAUUGUAAUGUGGCUUAUGUCAGGGUAGGAUAAUUUUUGGAUAAUUGGCUUAAACCUUGGAGUUAGAUACCUCUUUAUCCUUCCAUUAUCUUCUCCCUUUCAUAUCACUCUUUCAUUCAUAUUGGUACUGGACAAUUUCUUAUUUUUGGUCCUUUUUCUUUUCUUUCUCAUUAUUUUUCUGUUGAAAAUGUUGUGUUUUUGACAUCUUUUUC